CCCCUAGUAACUGCGAGUGAAGAGGGAAGAGCUCAAAUUUAAAAUCUGGCAGUGUUUCGCUGUCCGAGUUGUAAUCUAGAGAAGUGCUGCCCGUGCUGGACCAUGUACAAGUCUCCUGGAAUGGAGCCUCACAGAGGGUGAGAAUCCCGUCUUUGACAUGGACUUCCCAGUGCAUUUGUGGUGUGCUCUCAAAGAGUCGAGUUGUUUGGGAUUGCAGCUCUAAAUGGGUGGUAAACUCCAUCUAAAGCUAAAUAUUGGCGAGAGACCGAUAGCGAACAAGUACCGUGAGGGAAAGAUGAAAAGAACUUUGGAAAGAGAGUUAAACAGUAUGUGAAAUUGUUGAAAGGGAAACGCUUAAAGUCAGUCAUGUCAGCCAGGGAUCAACUUGGCUUUUUUGCUCAGUGUACUUCCUGAUCUUGAUGGGCCAACAUCAGUUUUGAUUGCUGGACAAGGGCAAGAGGGAAUGUGGCACCUUUUUUGGGUGUGUUAUAGCUCUCUGUCAGAUGCAGUGGUCAGGACUGAGGACAGCAGCAUGCCACAAAGGCCGGGUUUCGACCACGUUCAUGC
rnacentral:rRNA from 1 species